CACGUAGGGGGCGAGCGUUGUCCGGAUUUAUUGGGCGUAAAGAGCUCGUAGGCGGCUCAGUAAGUCAGGUGCGAAAACUCCAGGCUCAACCUGGAGACGCCACCUGAUACUGCUGUGGCUAGAGUCCGGUAGGGGAGCAUGGAAUUCCUGGUGUAGCGGUGAAAUGCGCAGAUAUCAGGAGGAACACCAGUGGCGAAGGCGGUGCUCUGGGCCGGAACUGACGCUGAGGAGCGAAAGCGUGGGGAGCAAACAGG
rnacentral:rRNA from 1 species